CCUGUACCACCUAUAAUCGUUUUAAUCGAUGGGGGGACGCAGUAGGAUAGGCGAAGCGUGCGAUUGGAUUGCACGUCUAAGCAGUAAGGCUGAGUAUUAGGCAAAUCCGGUACUCAUUAAGGCUGAGCUGUGAUGGGGAGAAGACAUUGUGUCUUCGAGUCGUUGAUUUCACACUGCCGAGAAAAGCCUCUAGAUAGAAAAUAGGUGCCCGUACCGCAAACCGACACAGGUAGUCAAGAUGAGAAUUCUAAGGUGAGCGAGCGAACUCUCGUUAAGGAACUCGGCAAAAUGACCCCGUAACUUCGGGAGAAGGGGUGCUCUUUAGGGUUAACGCCCAGAAGAGCCGCAGUGAAUAGGCCCAAGCGACUGUUUAUCAAAAACACAGGUCUCUGCUAAACCGUAAGGUGAUGUAUAGGGGCUGACGCCUGCCCGGUGCUGGAAGGUUAAGAGGAGUGGUUAGCUUCUGCGAAGCUACGAAUCGAAGCCCCAGUAAACGGCGGCCGUAACUAUAACGGUCCUAAGGUAGCGAAAUUCCUUGUCGGGUAAGUUCCGACCCGCACGAAAGGCGUAACGAUUUGGGCACUGUCUCAACGAGAGACUCGGUGAAAUCAUAGUACCUGUGAAGAUGCAGGUUACCCGCGACAGGACGGAAAGACCCCGUGGAGCUUUACUGUAGCCUGAUAUUGAAAUUCGGCACAGCUUGUACAGGAUAGGUAGGAGCCUUUGAAACGUGAGCGCUAGCUUACGUGGAGGCGCUGGUGGGAUACUACCCUAGCUGUGUUGGCUUUCUAACCCGCACCACUUAUCGUGGUGGGAGACAGUGUCAGGCGGGCAGUUUGACUGGGGCGGUCGCCUCCUAAAAGGUAACGGAGGCGCUCAAAGGUUCCCUCAGAAUGGUUGGAAAUCAUUCAUAGAGUGUAAAGGCAUAAGGGAGCUUGACUGCGAGACCUACAAGUCGAGCAGGGUCGAAAGACGGACUUAGUGAUCCGGUGGUUCCGCAUGGAAGGGCCAUCGCUCAACGGAUAAAAGCUACCCCGGGGAUAACAGGCUUAUCUCCCCCAAGAGUUCACAUCGACGGGGAGGUUUGGCACCUCGAUGUCGGCUCAUCGCAUCCUGGGGCUGUAGUCGGUCCCAAGGGUUGGGCUGUUCGCCCAUUAAAGCGGUACGCGAGCUGGGUUCAGAACGUCGUGAGACAGUUCGGUCCCUAUCCGUCGUGGGCGUAGGAAAUUUGAGAGGAGCUGUCCUUAGUACGAGAGGACCGGGAUGGACAUACCUCUGGUGUACCAGUUGUCGUGCCAACGGCAUAGCUGGGUAGCUAUGUGUGGACGGGAUAAGUGCUGAAAGCAUCUAAGCAUGAAGCCCCCCUCAAGAUGAGAUUUCCCAACUUCGGUUAUAAGAUCCCUCAAAGAUGAUGAGGUUAAUAGGUUCGAGGUGGAAGCAUGGUGACAUGUGGAGCUGACGAAUACUAA
rnacentral:rRNA from 1 species